UUCUGAGCACAUCUCCAGUGUGGGGCAGCACCAUGCUUCACCGAUCACCACUCACUCACUCGCCGGCAGCGCCACCAGCCCAGCCACCGGCCGAUCGGCCACCACAACACGCUCGGCCGCCCGCGGCGAGACCCUGACAUGGCCCCGGCCCGGUACCCUGCCCGAGGCGCGUACGGUCAGUCCAGCAAUCCAGGGUGCCUGGUAGAGGCUAGGGAUGCUCACAUUGCUGGUGACUGAGUAACCCUCCCAGUGGAGAAGUGUGCCAUUCUGGAAGUCUGGCAACACCAUCAGGGGGUCGCAACCUUUGAACUUCUGUCUACAGGUAGCAGCCUGGGAGGAACUGGCCGCCAUUCAAGAGAUGACAGGGCUUUACAAGAGCACUGGCGUGAUUGGAAGACAACAGGACGGUCGGAAAAAGGAAAAGAAGGGGGAAGCGAACAUCUUACGCAGACAACAAUGGCAAUGACUCACUACAGACAUUUGGCAACACAACAUGACGUUAAGAAAACAUUAGCUGCUACACUGUCUUGAAAAGAAAACUUAAGGAUGUGCUGUUGUUUUUUUUCAAGAAAGUUCUUUUUCUGAAGAUUAUGACUCGUACUCUUAUCUAUAUGACAUCCCAGCUUAGUUAGGCUGAGAUAUUUCCCCGACGCAUCAUGUUUUUAUUCCCAUGGACAUUCCACGUGUUCACCUCAAAGCUCAUACUGCGUUCUAUGUUCAAGGGAAAUCAUCUGGCAUAAUUCAGCCCCAGGCCGUGUUGUAUUAUCAGUGACCCAUAUGCAAGUCAAGGUAAUAGGGUUGUAUGAACUGACGCUCCCAUAAGUGUCCAUGAUCACUGCUGUAAGCUCUUUUGACCUCCUCAUGCCCGAUUGUUUUCGUUUCAUAAAUUGUCGUGCUGUCCCUGUAGGUAGAACAAACAAACACUCCCCAGGGAUCCAUUGUUCUGUGCUUACAAAACAGGACAAUCCUUUGCUUAUGUAAUAACCUGUGCAUAUUUGUUAUAUAUACAGGAGAUAACGCGUUUCCUGUCCAUUGUGUUCGUGCACAUGAAUAUGAAAAUUUAUCCGCCUUUGUCACGAAAACAAAGCAGGGGAUGUAGAUUUUUGUGUUGCUUCAACAAGUACAUCUGUUGCUAAUGCAGAAUAAUCCUCAGCUUUUGUAGUUUACUUUCAGCAAAAUUUCUCAUGGACGUUUGUUAUGGCAAGAAGUUGUAGAAUGUCCUUGGUUACAGCAAGUCUUUGGUUUUCUGUUGACGAAUAUCUGCUGAUGUGGACCCAUGUCUGGAACUAACUUUUCAGUUAGUCAUUGUGGAAAAAUUUAUAUUUCUAAUUUAUGUCAUAACAUCACGCUUCUUUUGAUGCUGCAUUCAGAAAAGAUCAAUCAAUAAAGAUUUUAAUUUA